GACGAACGCUGGCGGCGUGCUUAAUACAUGCAAGUCGAACGAGUGGCGAACGGGUGAGUAAUGCGUAGGUAACCUGCCCUUAGCUGGGGAUAAGCCUUGGAAACGGGGGCUAAUACCGAAUAUCGGGGGGUGGGGUCGCGGCCUAUUAGCUGGUUGGUGGGGUGAUGGCCUACCAAGGCGGCGACGGCUAGUCGGCCUGAGGGGGUGACCGGCCAUGAGGGGAGUGACAUACGGCCCAGAGUGCUACGAGAGGGGGCUGUGGGGGAUUGUGCGCAAGGCGGGAAAGGCUAAUGCAGCGGCGCCGCGUGGGGGAUGGAGGCUUUCGGGUUGGAAGUCUCUUUCGCUAGCUAACCGGUAGGUGGAGAGGAAGCGCCGGCUAACUACGUGCCAGCAGCCGCGGUAAUUC
rnacentral:rRNA from 1 species